rnacentral:rRNA from 1 species
CGGGGCUUAAAGUCUUGUAAUUGGAAUGAUGGGAAUUUAAACCUCUUCCAGAGUAUCAAUUGGAGGGCAAGUCUGGUGCCAGCAGCCGCGGUAAUUCCAGCUCCAAUAGCGUAUAUUAAAAUUGUUGCAGUUAAAAAGCUCGUAGUUGAAUUUCUGCUGCAUUUCUUGUGUCCCUCUGGGGUCUGUGCAUGUGGCUUUUUUCGGACGGAGUUUCUUUGUCUGAAUGUUUACUUUGAGAAAAUUAGAGUGCUCAAAGCAGGCUUUCGCCUUGAAUAGUUUAGCAUGGAAUAAUAAAGUAGGACUUUGGUUCUAUUUUGUUGGUUUUAGGUACCAAAGUAAUGGUUAAUAGGAACAGUUGGGGGCAUUCGUAUUUAACUGUCAGAGGUGAAAUUCUUAGAUUUGUUAAAGACGAACUACUGCGAAAGCAUUUGCCAAGGAUGUUUUCAUUAAUCAAGAAC